rnacentral:rRNA from 1 species
UGAGGAAUAUUGGUCAAUGGGCGGGAGCCUGAACCAGCCAAGCCGCGUGAGGGAGGAAGGCCCUAUGGGUCGUAAACCUCUUUUGUCAGGGAACAAAAGCGAGUAUGUAUACUAGUCUGAGUGUACCUGAAGAAAAAGCAUCGGCUAACUCCGUGCCAGCAGCCGCGGUAAUACGGAGGAUGCGAGCGUUAUCCGGAUUUAUUGGGUUUAAAGGGUGCGUAGGCGGCGGUGCAAGUCAGCGGUAAAAGCCCGGGGGCUCAAUCCCGGCGAGCCGUUGAAACUGCAGUGCUAGAGAAGGCGAGAGGUACGCGGAAUGCGCAGUGUAGCGGUGAAAUGCUUAGAUAUUGCGCAGAACUCCGAUUGCGAAGGCAGCGUACUGGCGCCUGACUGACGCUGAGGCACGAAAGCGUGGGGAUCGAACAGGAUUAGAUACC